rnacentral:rRNA from 1 species
AUUGAACGCUGGCGGCAGGCCUAACACAUGCAAGUCGAGCGAGCGGCGGACGGGUGAGUAAUGUCUGGGAAACUGCCUGAUGGAGGGGGAUAACUACUGGAAACGGUAGCUAAUACCGCAUACUAUCAGAUGAGCCUAGGUCGGAUGAGCUAGUUGGUGGGGUAAAGGCCUACCAAGGCGACGAUUCGUAACUGGUCUGAGAGGAUGAUCAGCAACAUGGUAAUUGAGAGACGUGCCAGACUCCGACGGGAGGCAGCAGUGGGGAAUAUUGGACAAUGGGGGCAAGCCUGAUGCAGCCAGGCCGCGUGUAUGAAGAAGGCCUUAGGGUUGUAAAGUACUUUCAGCGGGGAGGCGUUACCCGCAGAAGAAGCACCGGCUAACUCCGUGCCAGCAGCCGCGGUAAUUC